rnacentral:rRNA from 1 species
CCUACGGGAGGCUGCAGUGAGGGAUUUUCGGCAAUGGGCGAAAGCCUGACCGAGCGACGCCGCGUGAGCGAAGAAGGCCUUCGGGUCGUAAAGCUCUGUCUAGGGGGACGAGAACGGACGGUACCCCUGGAGGAAGCCACGGCUAACUACGUGCCAGCAGCCGCGGUAAUACGUAGGUGGCGAGCGUUGUCCGGAAUUACUGGGCGUAAAGGGCGCGCAGGCGGCGCGUUAAGUCCGGGGUGAAAUCCCACGGCUCAACUGUGGGGGGACCCUGGAUACUGGCGUGCUGGAGUGCGGGAGAGGGAAGCGGAAUUCCACGUGUAACGGUGAAAUGUAUAGAUAUGUGGAGGAACACCGGUGGCGAAGGCGGCUUCCUGGACCGUAACUGACGCUGAGGCGCGAAAGCUGGGGGAGCGAACAGGAUUAGAUACCCCUGUAGUC